rnacentral:rRNA from 1 species
UACGUAGGGUGCGAGCGUUAAUCGGAAUUACUGGGCGUAAAGUGUGCGCAGGCGGCCGCGCAAGUCGAGUGUGAAAGCCCCGAGCUUAACUUGGGAAUUGCGCUCGAAACUACGUGGCUGGAGUGUGGCAGAGGAAGGUGGAAUUCCAGGUGUAGCGGUGAAAUGCGCAGAUAUCGGGAGGAACACCGGUGGCGAAGGCGGUUCUCUGGGCCGGUACUGACGCUGAGGAGCGAAAGCGUGGGGAGCGAACAGG